rnacentral:rRNA from 1 species
AUGUUCUAUAGCCUCUUAAUUGUUUCAGUGUAUGUUCCGGACAUGGCCGGGAGUCAUCUACUUUAUUAUAUAUUUCGUUCUUACAUGUCAGCAGGAUGUGUGCAUUUGUUUCGGUUGUUAUUCCUAUUUUGGAGGUUGUGGUGGCCGAAUGCGCUUUGCCAUCCCUUUUGUACCUGUGGGAGGUCACAGAAGAUGGCUAGCUCUGUCCUUACUGGGGUAGAGCCUGAGCUCUCCCGGGGAUGGUUCUCGUCGAGUGCCUCGGCGAGAGUUUUUUUGGGGCUCAGCCUGUUGUGGGUUCAUGAAUGCUUAUGA